CCUACGGGCGGCAGCAGUGGGGAAUAUUGCACAAUGGGCGCAAGCCUGAUGCAGCCAUGCCGCGUGUGUGAAGAAGGCCUUCGGGUUGUAAAGCACUUUCAGCGGGGAGGAAGGCGGUGAGGUUAAUAACCUCAUCGAUUGACGUUACCCGCAGAAGAAGCACCGGCUAACUCCGUGCCAGCAGCCGCGGUAAUACGGAGGGUGCAAGCGUUAAUCGGAAUUACUGGGCGUAAAGCGCACGCAGGCGGUCUGUCAAGUCGGAUGUGAAAUCCCCGGGCUCAACCUGGGAACUGCAUUCGAAACUGGCAGGCUAGAGUCUUGUAGAGGGGGGGAGAAUUCCAGGUGUAGCGGUGAAAUGCGUAGAGAUCUGGAGGAAUACCGGUGGCGAAGGCGGCCCCCUGGACAAAGACUGACGCUCAGGUGCGAAAGCGUGGGGAGCAAACAGGAUUAGAUACCCCGGUAGUC
rnacentral:rRNA from 1 species